rnacentral:tRNA from 2 species
GUUUUAAUAGUUUAAAGAAAACUUUGGUCUUGUAAGCCAAUAAUGAAUACUAUUUCUUAAAGCU